CGCCGAGGGAGCCCCAGAGAAUGGCCCUUAUCAGAGCCUGGAGAGGAACCACUGGGGUGAAGCCAAGAGAAAAGAUGGCAAGCGAGACCCAUGACAACAUCAUUUGACAUCUUGGAUCCGCCCUUGUUUUUCUCAGUUGGGUUUUUGUAAGAAAUUGUGUUCUUUCAGCAAGCAAUCGGCCAUGCAGAGAAGUGCUAAUUACGAGCGGACGUAAAACACUUCCUCUGACAAAGACACGGGAGCCUGGCACCAAGGUUUCUCCCAUGUCCCUGCGUGUUCACUGCGUCUGGAUGGAGCUCUGGUCAACCUUUGCAAAGCUGGUGUACCCGCUCCAAAGUAGGUUUGCCAGGAGUCAGACAAAGACAGAACAAAGAAACUGAGUUCAUGAAGGCAAAUGGCAGAUCAGAUGUGUCACAGGGAAGAGGAGGCUUCGUGGGGUUAAAUACCUUGACCUGG
ensembl:lncRNA